CAGCCGCCGCGGUAAUUCGUAGGGGGCUAGCGUUGUCCGGAUUUAUUGGGCGUAAAGAGCGUGUAGGCGGCCAGGUAGGUCUGCUGUGAAAACUCGAGGCUCAACCUCGAGACGUCGGCGGAAACCAUCUGGCUAGAGUCCGGAAGAGGAGAGUGGAAUUCCUGGUGUAGCGGCGAAAUGCGCAGAUAUCAGGAAGAACACCUAUGGCGAAGGCAGCUCUCUGGGACGGUACUGACGCUGAGACGCGAAAGCGUGGGGAGCGAACAGGAUUAGAUACCCUGGUAGUCCACGCCGUAAACGAUGGGUGCUAGGUGUGGGCGGUGUCGACUCCGUCCGUGCCGAAGCUAACGCAUUAAGCACCCCGCCUGGGGAGUACGGCCGCAAGGCUAAAACUCAAAGGAAUUGACGG
rnacentral:rRNA from 1 species